rnacentral:rRNA from 1 species
UACGUAGGGUGCGAGCGUUAAUCGGAAUUACUGGGCGUAAAGCGUGCGCAGGCGGAUUGUUAAGCAAGAUGUGAAAUCCCCGGGCUCAACCUGGGAAUGGCAUUUGUGACUGUAUAGCUAGAGUACGGUAGAGGGGGAUGGAAUUCCGCGUGUAGCAGUGAAAUGCGUAGAUAUGCGGAGGAACACCGAUGGCGAAGGCAGCCCCCUGGGAUAACACUGACGCUCAUGUACGAAAGCGUGGGUAGCAAACAGGAUUAGAUACCCGCGUAGUCC